ACAAAAAUAAACCAAUUUCAAAUACUUUUCUCGAAAUAAAAGAAAAUAAAACGUUUACAAAUAACAAAAUCAAUUACAAAACAAAAAGAGGAGCUCUUGCAAUCUAUCUCACUUCUAAUCUUCUGUAACUCUUUUCUAUUCUUGUACACGUCCGCUAGUCUUCUAGAAACACGUGUCUUCGUACAAACCUGAACAACAUUCUAUAGGGGUGAGCUUACGCUCAGUAGGGUUUAACCUUUUUAGGUUGUACUUAAUUACGUCAAACAAACAAGUUAUCAAACAUCAAAUAAUACUUUAUAUAAAUAAUGAGAAUUCGAUGCAUGUAUGCUAAUGAAUGCCUUCCUCAAUUACUGGUUGUCAGUCCAUACAUCAAAGACAGGUGAGCCUACAUGUCCCAUACCGUGUAUUUUAUUAACCGGGUGUGACUCAAAUGUCUCGAAUAUAUGAUCUAAUAAUAAUCAGUAAUAUCUCACUGCCUGUACCUCUUUUGUUAGUCAUCUUGUUAUACUCAUGGUCUCCCGAUCCGUAACCCGAUAAAGAUUGUUUUAUCGAUGUCCGCCAUCGAAAAGGCAUACAUUCCCUGAAUUUGUGCACGUGUGGACUAAUCAUAGAUC
rnacentral:lncRNA from 1 species